UACGUAGGGGGCGAGCGUUGUCCGGAAUCAUUGGGCGUAAAGCGCGUGUAGGCGGCCCGGUAAGUCCGCUGUGAAAGUCCAGGGCUCAACCCUGGGAUGCCGGUGGAUACUGUCGGGCUCGAGUCCGGAAGAGGCGAGUGGAAUUCCUGGUGUAGCGGUGAAAUGCGCAGAUAUCAGGAGGAACACCGAUGGCGAAGGCAGAUCUCUGGGCCGUAACUGACGCUGAGGAGCGAAAGCAUGGGGAGCGAACAUG
rnacentral:rRNA from 1 species